rnacentral:rRNA from 1 species
CGAGCGAGUCUGCCUUGAAGAUCGGAGUGCUUGCACUCUGUGAAACAAGAUACAGGCUAGCGGCGGACGGGUGAGUAACACGUGGGUAACCUGCCUAAGAGAUCGGGAUAACACCUGGAAACAGAUGCUAAUACCGGAUAACAACAGAUGAUGCCUAUCAACUGUUUAAAAGAUGGUUCUGCUAUCACUCUUGGAUGGACCUGCGGUGCAUUAGCUAGUUGGUAGGGUAACGGCCUACCAAGGCGAUGAUGCAUAGCCGAGUUGAGAGACUGAUCGGCCACAUUGGGACUGAGACACGGCCCAAACUCCUACGGGAGGCAGCAGUAGGGAAUCUUCCACAAUGGACGCAAGUCUGAUGGAGCAACGCCGCGUGAGUGAAGAAGGGUUUCGGCUCGUAAAGCUCUGUUGUUGGUGAAGAAGGACAGGGGUAGUAACUGACCUUUGUUUGACGGUAAUCAAUUAGAAAGUCACGGCUAACUACGUGCCAGCAGCCGCGGUAAUACGUAGGUGGCAAGCGUUGUCCGGAUUUAUUGGGCGUAAAGCGAGUGCAGGCGGCUCGAUAAGUCUGAUGUGAAAGCCUUCGGCUCAACCGGAGAAUUGCAUCAGAAACUGUCGAGCUUGAGUACAGAAGAGGAGAGUGGAACUCCAUGUGUAGCGGUGAAAUGCGUAGAUAUAUGGAAGAACACCGGUGGCGAAGGCGGCUCUCUGGUCUGUUACUGACGC